rnacentral:tRNA from 1 species
GUCUAAUUAGUUUAUUAAAAAUGUUUAAUUGUGGAUUAAGAGAGGUGAUUCAUUAGAUA